CAGGAAAAUAAGAAAACCAAAGCCAUGGAGACACACAGAACCAAUAACAAGAGCUCAGCUUCUAAAAAUGCGUGAAGAAUUCUGGGACACUGCACCACACUAUGGGGGAAAAAAAGAGAUCUGGGAUGCGCUACGUGCUGCUGCCGAGGCAGAAAUAGGCCUUGCACAAACAAUCGUGAACAGUGCUGGGAUAAUUGUUCAAACCACUGAUCUAACAGUCUGCUAUGAUGAGAG
rnacentral:misc_RNA from 1 species